GGGUCUCUUAGCUCAGUGGUUAGAGCACCUGACUCUUAAUCAGGAGGUCGUUGGUUCGAAUCCCACAGGGCCCA
rnacentral:tRNA from 1 species